GACGAACGCUGGCGGCGUGCUUAACACAUGCAAGUCGAACGGAGUGGCGAACGGGUGAGUAACACGUGAGUAACUGCCCCCUUCUUCUGGAUAACUGCUUGAAAGGGUAGCUAAUACGGGAUAGUGGGGGAUGGCUCGCGGCCUAUCAGCUUGUUGGUGGGGUAGUGGCCUACCAAGGCGACGACGGGUAGCCGGCCUGAGAGGGCGACCGGCCACAUUGGGCUGGGAUACGGCCCAAACUCCGACGGGAGGCAGCAGUGGGGAAUAGUGCACAAUGGGGGAAACCCUGAUGCAGCAACGCGCGUGCGGGAUGACGGUCUUCGGGUUGUAAACCGCUUUCAGCCAUGACGCGGUAGUGGCAGAAGAAGCACCGGCUAACUACGUGCCAGCAGCCGCGGUAAUAC
rnacentral:rRNA from 1 species